rnacentral:tRNA from 4 species
GAAAAUCCGUCGACUUUAGAAAUCGUGAGGGUUCAAGUC